rnacentral:rRNA from 1 species
AUGCACUUUCUCCCCCGUCUUCCACUCUUCUUCCUCCUCUCUUCUUCUUCCUCCUCUCUUCUUCUUCCUCCUCUCUUCCCCAUCGUCGGCCGCACACCAUUUCCCCCCGCUCACUGCUCGCCCUCCCGUGCUAUCUUCCUUGGUAGCUCGCGCUACCAUAUAACUGGAAUUAACCCAUGCAAGUCGAAGAACGAUUGGCCGGUGCUGCCGGCUGGCGUCAAGUUCGAUCCCACGGAUCAGGAGCUGAUCGAGCACCUUGAGGCCAAAGUGAGUGCUGACAACGCGAGAUCUCACCCUCUCAUCGAUUUGUUCAUACCAACGAUCGACAGCGAGGACGGCAUAUGCUACACCCAUCCUGAGAAACUUCCAGGUAUCACACUGAGUGGCCUAAGCAAUCAUUUCUUCCAGCGCAAUUCCAGGGCGUUCAAAAGGGGCACAUGGACGCAUCGCAAGAUACAGUCGCAGUGCGGUAUGCACGCGAUGUGGCACAACACCGGCAAUACAUUGCCGGUGAUGGUCAACGGCCGUCAGACGGGCAGCAAAAAGGUUCUGGUGCUGCACAUGAACAAGAACUUCGACCAGCAGAGGACCAACUGGGUGAUGCACCAGUACCACCUCGGGGACCUGGAGCAAGAGAAGGAGCGGGAGCUGGUCCUCUGCAAGAUUUUCUACCAGACGAACACUAGGGUCGAGCAAGUUUCAACUGGGCUGUAG